rnacentral:tmRNA from 1 species
GGGGAUGUCCAGCAUCGACAGGGAAAAGCGCAGUGCUUGCGAACCGAGCUCGUGCAGUGCUCGUUAAACAAUGCACAACUCAUAUAAGUGCAAACUUAUUGAACGAAGUCCGCAGUAUCAUGGCGUCUGCCGUGCGUACUCCGGCCUUGGCGGUUGCAUAACCGUCCAUCCGGCACCAUUGAUGCUCGAUAGAUUGCGCCGGGUGUGAUAUCCUUCGAGCUACGCCAAAGCACCUCCCGGGUACUUUUCGCGGAAACACUACCGGGAAAGCGCCUGUUGAUUUCGCUCCGCUUAACAAGAGGCGCAAUACCAACGGAGCUACGUUCGUAGAAAAGUAUUGUUUCUUUUUCUUGGACAGGGGUGCGAUUCCCCUCAUCUCCACCA